GUUUUGUGACAGAGAGAAGGGAGAGGGGAAUCAAAUCCCUAACUCUCUCAUUCUUCCCUCAAUCUCUCUCGCGCAACUUAAAUCUUCGCUGGUGUCGACUAAGGCAAAGGAGCAGUGGCGUUGGCACACUAAGAGGGUCGUUUAUGGCCAAAACCGAGAUGGUCUAGGAGGUGCAACGACGGUGAAUCGUUAUAGCCACCGUCCUGUUUCGUUAGCUUGCAACCAAGAGCAUAAUGACUCUAGUUCGUGGGGGUGAGGGAAGACGACGAAUCCCCUUUUACAAUGGUGGUUACCGGUUGACUUCGGUUUGAGAUGCAAAGGAAACAUUGGUUAAAGUGGCUAAACGUGGUCUACCAUUAUAGAAAAAGGGAAUGACACAUGGAGAAUAUGAGAUAAUCCUCCAUUAAAACGUUGGCUGAAGUUAAGGGAGAGAUUUACCUCUUUUAAGUGAUUGAAUGUAUCCCCUUUAAGGCAAAUGCAACAAGGUUGUAUAAUGCUAUAAAUUGGAAUGUAAUUUAUUACCAAAUGUUAUACAAUUAAUUAAUAUUUUUAAUUCUAGCAUAUGACAAAAGUUGUAACACAACUAAUUUUUUUAAAAUUGUGUAAUUGGU